GUCGAGCAGGUGCGAAAGCAGGGCAUAGUGAUCCGGCGGUUGCGUGUGGAAGCGCCGUCGCUCAACGGAUAAAAGGUACCCCGGGGAUAACAGGCUAAUCUUCCCCAAGAGUCCAUAUCGACGGGAAGGUUUGGCACCUCGAUGUCGGCUCAUCGCAUCCUGGGGCUGAAGCAGGUCCCAAGGGUUGGGCUGUUCGCCCAUUAAAGCGGUACGCGAGCUGGGUUUAGAACGUCGUGAGACAGUUCGGUCCCUAUCCUCUACAGCCGGAAGUGACUUGAGAAAAGCUGUCCCUAGUACGAGAGGACCGGGAUGGACGCAGCUCUCGUGUGCCAGUUGUCCUGCCAAGGGCAUGGCUGGUUAGCGACCUGCGGGCGAGAUAACCGCUGAAAGCAUCUAAGCGGGAAGCUCCUUUCAAGAUGAGGUCACUCACAGGGUCAACCUGGUAAGGCCCGUGGUAGACCACCACGUUGAUAGGCCGGAAGUGUAAGCGCGGUAACGCGUUCAGCUGACCGGUACUAAUCGGCCGAGGGCUUGGUUUC
rnacentral:rRNA from 1 species